AUAUUAAUAAGCAAAGGAAAAGAAAUCAACUGAGAUUGCCUUAGUAAUUGCGAAUGAACCGGCAAAAGCUCAUUGCUGAAGCGUGUUAAAUUUACUUUUGACAUGCAUUGUAGCAUUUGGGGUGACUACUGUAUGGUGCCUGUUCGUGUGAGUUCCUUUGAUCAGGCUUAGCCAUAGA
rnacentral:rRNA from 1 species